UCUAGGCAUAAAUCACAUUCCUGCAGCUAACCAGAAUAGCCCCAACGGCAAUAAUAACAAUCAAAUCGUUAAAAGCGAGCAAUCUAAGCAACCUGUACAAAUAGCCUCUAAGUCGUGUCCAACAUAGGGACGCUACAAACUGAAUAAGAAUCCCGAUAAGGGAGGAUUAUAUCAACCUGAGCAACCAAUAAUCAACAAUAACGGCUACAAGUAUAUCAAGUAUAUUAAGGAACAUGUCGUAAGUAGGGAAUAGCCUUAACAUACCUUUUUUGCUAAAUUCACGUGGCCUAAAGACUUUAACUCAUAACUCCCUCGAUACUACAACAAGGUAGGACCAUAAUCAACACAUAAAAUAAAAGAUACCAUGACAAUACAAUAAAAGAUAUGUAUUUCCGUC
rnacentral:lncRNA from 1 species